rnacentral:tRNA from 1 species
GGAGGGUUGCCGGAGUGGUCAAUCGGAGCAGACUGUAAAUCUGCCGGCAUUAGCCUACGGUGGUUCAAAUCCACCACCCUCCACCG